rnacentral:lncRNA from 1 species
UCGGACUGAAGGCGGCGGAGCUCUCCGCGCUCGGUGCCAUCACCGGCGGCGUGUUCCACGGGUUGAACAAGGCUCUCGUGGGUUUGCACAAAAAGAGGGAGGGUGACGAUUUCGAGCCGACGAUUCCCAUGCCGGACCUCAAGACGUCCGUCCUGGGCAUGGGGGCCUUCAUGGGCCUCAGCUGCAACCUCCGCUACCAGCUCAUCGGCGGCGCCGAUCGCUGGAUGACGGAGCGGCUCACCACGCUCAUGUCGGCCAUCACGGCGACGGGUCUCGGCAGGCUGGCGAACAACCACUUUGGCGACCAGACCAGGCUCUUCGCGCUCGGCCUGCCCAUCCACGCGACGAUGACGACGAGGUCGGCGGCCAAGGCGACGCCGAAGAAGACGAAGAAGGUGAAGAAGAAGGUGAAGAAGAGCAAGAAGAAGAAGGCAGCCGCCCCCCAGGAGGCUGUCAUG